rnacentral:rRNA from 1 species
AUUGAACGCUGGCGGCAUGCCUUACACAUGCAAGUCGAACGGUAACAGGUCUUCGGAUGCUGACGAGUGGCGAACGGGUGAGUAAUACAUCGGAACGUGCCCGAUCGUGGGGGAUAACGAAGCGAAAGCUUUGCUAAUACCGCAUAAGAUCUACGGAUGAAAGCAGGGGACCGCAAGGCCUUGCGCGAACGGAGCGGCCGAUGGCAGAUUAGGGAGUUGGUGGGAUAAAAGCUUACCAAGCCGACGAUCUGUAGCGGGUCUGAGGGGACGACCAGCCACACUGGGAAUGAGACACGGCCCAGACUCCUAAGGGAGGCAGCAGUGGGGAAUUUUGGACAAUGGGCGAAAGCCUGAUCCAGCCAUGCCGCGUGCAGGAUGAAGGCCUUCGGGUUGUAAACUGCUUUUGUACGGAACGAAAAGACUCUUUCUAAUAAAGAGGGUCCAUGACGGUACCGUAAGAAUAAGCACCGGCUAACUACGUGCCAGCAGCCGCGGUAAAAC